AUGGAUUUUCAUGUGCAGAUUUUGAGCUUCAUGCUAAUCAGUGUCACAGUCAUAGUGUCCAGUGGAGAAAUUGUGCUCACCCAGUCUCCAGCACUCAUGGCUGCAUCUCCAGGGGAGAAGGUCACCAUGACCUGCAGUGCCAGCUCAAGUGUAAGUACCGGUUACUUGCACUGGUACCAGCAGAAGUCAGGUGCCUCCCCCAAACCCUGGAUUUAUAGCACAUCCAACCUGGCUUCUGGAGUCCCUGCUCGCUUCAGUGGCAGUGGGUCUGGGACCUCUUACUCUCUCACAAUCAGCAGCGUGGAGGCUGAAGAUGCUGCCACUUAUUACUGCCAGCAGUGGAGUAGUAACCCACCCACAGAGUGAUACAGACUGGAACA